CCGCGACAGUCUUCGAGUGAAUUUGGUUGAGUUUGGACGCGUUUUUCUCCGCCGGGGCUCGCUGUCGUGUCUUGCUGCCGGAAAUCCCUGUGGCAGUCUCAGCUUUUGUCAGUGUUUUUUGCGUGUGCAUUUCCGGCCACCAGUGCUAGUAGAGAGAGAGAGAGUGGAGACUCUUUUAGUUUUUGUUGGGGAAAAAUUGCGGUGAAAAUCUAUUUGAAUUUGGGGAAAUUGAUUGCUUGGAAAGCGCGAGGAAAGUGCAUUGAAGAGAGGUGACAAAGUGUCAAAGUAACGAAACGAAAAACGUCAACAAAGAAGCAUCAGCAACAACAACAAAAUAAAUAGUGCAAAAUAGUGAAACAACAAAACAAGCCGCAAAGCAAAGGCAAGCAAGGAAGAAAGGGUGGAGAAAGAAGACGACUUCCAUUUUUUUCCUUCUCUCGUUUUUCAUUUUGUGCGUUCUCUCCACCGCACACAAGCCUCUACUUGUCUGUGUUUGUAUUUGUGUCGGCCGUUUGACAGCUGCUGCUGCUGCAGAUUCGUCAUUCUUGCAAUCAACAGUGCGUGCAGGCAGCUGUAAACAACAAGCUGUCAGCUGUCAGUGGCAGAGAGGAGCUGAAGGAAAACGAAAAAAAACGGAGCUGCUUCUUCGCGACCUGGGACCAGGGUCGUGGUCGUCGUAACCUGUUUCUGAAGUGUGCGCUUCCGAGUUCUUGCUGGUGUCCGGAGUCGCCGUGUGUCUCGGGUAGAGUCGGAACGUGGUUCCAUCGUGAAGGAGGAAUCUCCCGAGAAGGAAGCAGCUUUGCGUGAUUUGCUGCUGCAAACGAGGAAGCAGAUUUUGCCCUGAUCCAACAUCAUCAUAACUGACCCUUUCCCCAAAAAUCGGGGAAUAACCGUUCGACAUCGAAGCCAGCAGGCAAAGGACACCUGGAAACCUCGCGGCUAACAUUCGUACACCUGCCUGGUCCUGUGUAGCAUUCAUUACCUGUUACCUACCACACAGUCAGUGGUAGUCGUCAGCGAGAGAAGUCACCAGUUGAAGUCGUCGCGAGUGUUCCUGCACGAGGAAGAAGCACGCAAAAUUUAUGUUGCGUUGAAAAGCAACAGCGCAGCGUUUGGUGGGUUUGGUGCACGGCCGCACAAUUAUCCAAUUGUUUUCAAUUGAAAGAAGAAGAAGUGGCGUUGCGAAAAAAAUAGUGCGUUCAUUGUAAAAUUUGUGUCUGCGUGUUACAAGUGAAGCAGAGGAAGAGAGUUGAGGAAGAAGCAUUAAUAGUGCGACCAAUUAAGAGUGUAGUCUCAAGUGACAAACACGCUCGCCUUCCUUCCUUUCCCCGUUUGUUGCAAGUUGUGAAAUUGGUGUGUAGUUCAAGUAGUUGAAGAAGCAAAAAGUGUGUCUCUCUGUUUAGUCAGUGUUUAGUUGAGUGCGCUCUAAUGUCAAGCUGCAGCUGCAAGUGAAGGGCCGAAGAACCUGCUCCACGGCGCGCCCUAGUCCUAGAUCUUCACUGUCCCCACUGGUUUUGUUCACUUGCUCGUUCCGUGUCUACCCUCGUGAAUGGCGGCAGUUGGCGGUCCGACCAGGCAAUCCCGCGGGGUCUCUAUGAGCGUCUCGAUGUCGCUGGUCCAGGGCGGUGCAGCGGGCGCGGCCGGCGGUCCCCAGGGCGCGAUCCUGGCGGCGGCCGCCCCCUACUACCAGCCGCCGGCCGUCCCCCAGGACGUGCAGCCGGACCGGCCGAUCGGGUACGGAGCGUUCGGCGUCGUAUGGGCUGUCACAGAUCCGCGCGAUGGGCGGCGGGUCGCACUCAAGAAACUGCCAAACGUGUUCCAGUCGCUCGUGUCAUCGAAGCGGGUGUUCCGCGAGCUCAAGAUGCUGUGCUUCUUCAAGCAUGAAAACGUAUUAUCAGCCCUCGACAUCCUGCAGCCACCACAUUUGGAUUUCUUCCAAGAAAUCUACGUCAUCACCGAACUGCUCCAGUCGGAUCUGCACAAAAUCAUCGUCUCACCACAGCACCUCUCGGCGGACCACAUCAAGGUGUUCCUGUACCAGAUCCUGCGCGGCCUCAAGUAUCUGCACUCGGCGCGCAUCCUCCACCGGGACAUCAAGCCGGGCAACCUGCUCGUCAACAGCAACUGCGUACUGAAGAUCUGUGACUUUGGCCUGGCCCGCGUCGAGGAGCCCGAUCAGUCCAAGCACAUGACCCAGGAGGUGGUCACACAGUACUACCGGGCGCCGGAGAUCCUGAUGGGCGCCCGCCACUACUCCGCCGCCGUGGACGUGUGGUCCGUAGGGUGCAUCUUUGGCGAGCUGCUCGGCCGCCGCAUUCUUUUCCAGGCCCAGAGCCCGGUGCAGCAGUUGGAACUGAUCACGGAACUGCUCGGCACGCCCACGCUGGAGGACAUGCGACACGCCUGCGAGGGCGCCCGAACCCACAUGCUGCGCCGCGCCCCGAAACCUCCGUCGCUGUCCGCCCUGUACACGCUCAGCACGCACGCCACCCACGAGGCGGUUCACCUGCUCUGCCAGAUGCUCGUCUUUGAUCCGGACAAGAGAAUCUCGGUGAUUGACGCGUUGGCCCACCCGUACGUGGACGAGGGCCGGCUCCGGUACCAUUCCUGCAUGUGCAAGUGCUGCUACACGCCGUCGGCGGGCAUGCGCCAGUACGCGGCCGAGUUUGAACCGUCGGCGCAGCAGCCGUUCGACGAUCUGUGGGAGCGCAAGCUGACCUCGGUGCAGCAGGUGAAAGAGGAAAUGCACAAAUUCAUCGCGGAGCAGCUGCAAACCGGUCGCGUGCCACUAUGUAUAAAUCCUCAGAGUGCCGCAUUCAAGAGCUUCGCCAGUAUCGUCAACAACAGCAAUAACAAUCAUCAGCCAUCGCCAUCAUCCAAUUACCACCAACAGUAGUAGAGUGCGAGCACGACUGAGAGACCAUAAUAAAUCUAGGAGAGUAACUUGAAACUUUUGCACAAAGAACCAAACUGAACCCGAACAAACAAAAAUUGAAACUGCCAGUUGUGCACUGCAAAAAAACUAAACCAGACAGAAAUUGAGAGAAGAACGUAAAAAAGUAGUUUAAGCUAGAAGGCACUUGUGCGUCUACUUGACUAUUUUACCUACCAAUCUACUACUAUUCUACUACGAAAAACUGCUACAACCACUACUAGAACUGCGACGAGAGAGAGUCCCCGAUUAGAGUGAAGAGAGAAAGCCCGCGAUCUCCGGAUAGAAGAGAGAGAAAGAGGUUGUGUCGUUGCACUAGCUCAACCGUGGCGCACCCCUCGGAGCUGCCGCCCUCGCCCCACCAGUGGGAAUGACAGCACAAUGAAGCGACGAUGGCCGCCUGAAAUUUGUAAAUUUGCCCCGUCCCACACUCACUCAUGUUAGGCGGGGAAAAGCGGGAUAGCAUUUUUGAACGGAGGAGGAGAAAAACAAAACAAAAACAAAAAAAAACACGCAAAAAAAUUAGUGCUGCCAACAACAAGAGACAACUACUACUGCGAGAAGGAGAGAAAGAGACAAGGGAGGGUCACCGUGGGAAGAAAGGGGUGAAAAAUUCAACCAAACUUUGGAGAAGACGCAAAAAAGAGAGAAGACAAGAAGACGACACGGACAAGGAAAAGGAUGAAGCUAGUCGAUGCAUGCUAAGAUGUUAGGGAAAAUUGCAUCAAAAUGACAAGACACACACAAAAAGAGAAGAAAGUCUACCUUCAAGAGUAAGGUAGCGUCGUGGCAAGCUUUGAUCAAACUGAAAAAUGACAGUUUGCUGUUUGUUUUGACGCGGAAAAGGAAGAGUGUGAAACGAGCGUAAAAAAAGGACUAGUAUUAUUGUGAGGUUGAUGAUAGAACAAGUAAAAUUUAGGCAAAAAUAAAA